rnacentral:rRNA from 1 species
CNUAAGGUAUGCAAGUCGAACGAUCCCUUUGAAUUACUUGAAACUUCGGUUGAUUGUAUUUCUUUUUGGGAUAGUGGCAAACGGGUGAGUAACACGUGGAUAACCUGCCUUAAAGUCAUGAACAGCUCAUCGAAAGAUGGGAUAAUACAUGAUGGUCUUACAAUUUCUAUCCGACUUUGUAAGUAAAGCUCAGGCGCUUUAAGAGGGGUCCGCGUCCUAUCAGCUUGUUGGUGAGGUAAUAGCUCACCAAGGCUAAGACGGGUAGCUGGCGUGAGAGCGCGGUCAGCCACCAUGGAACUGAGACACGGUCCAUACUCCUACGGGAGGCAGCAAUUAGGAAUCUUGCGCAAUGGGGGCAACCCUGACGCAGCGACACAGCGUGGAGGACGACGGUCUUCGGAUUGUAAACUCCUUUUAUAUGGGAAGAAUAGAUGACGGUACCAUAUGAAUAAGCACCUGCUAACUACGUGCCAGAAGCAUCGGUGAUACGUAGGGUGCGAACGUUAUCCGGAUUUAUUGGGCGUAUAGAGAUGCGUAGGCGUUUCUGUAAGUCUGAAGUUAAAGCCCACGGCUUAACCGUGGAAAAGCUUUGGAAACUGCAGAAAUUGAGACAGGAAGAGGCGAAUGGAAUUCCCAGUGGAGCGGUGAAAUGCGUUGAUAUUGGGAGGAACAUCAGUGGCGAAGGCGAUUCGCUGGUCCUUGUCUGACGCUGAGGCUCGAAAGCGUGGGUAGCAAAACGGAUUAGAUACCCGUGUAGUCCACGCCGUAAACUAUGGAUGCUAGGUGUUCGGUACAACCGUUUUUUCCUUCGGGAAAAAAUGGAAGUAUUGAGUGCCGCAGCUAACGCGUUAAGCAUCCCGCCUGGGAAGUA